rnacentral:rRNA from 1 species
CCUACGGGUGGCAGCAGUGGGGGAUAUUGCACAAUGGGGGGAACCCUGAUGCAGCGACGCCGCGUGGGUGAAGAAGUGCCUCGGCGCGUAAAGCCCUGUCAGCAGGGAAGAAAAUGACGGUACCUGAAGAAGAAGCCCCGGCUAACUACGUGCCAGCAGCCGCGGUAAUACGUAGGUGGCGAGCGUUGUCCGGAUUUACUGGGCGUAAAGGGAGCGUAGGCGGACUUUUAAGUCAGAUGUGAAAUACUCGGGCUCAACUUGAGUGCUGCUUUGCAAACUGGAAGUCUAGAGUGCAGGAGAGGAGAAUGGAAUUCCUAGUGUAGCGGUGAAAUGCGUAGAGAUUAGGAAGAACACCAGUGGCGAAGGCGGUUCUCUGGACUGUAACUGACGCUGAGGCUCGAAAGCGUGGGGAGCAAACAGGAUUAGAUACCCCGGUAGUC